UGACUUGCUAUUGAGCAGUUCUGUCCGAU
rnacentral:sRNA from 1 species